rnacentral:rRNA from 1 species
GGCUGAGCACUUAGAGAGACUGCCGGUGAUAAACCGGAGGAAGGUGGGGAUGACGUCAAGUCAUCAUGGCCCUUAUGGGCAGGGCUACACACGUGCUACAAUGGGCGGUACAAAGGGUUGCCAACCCGCGAGGGGGAGCUAAUCCCACAAAGCCGUUCGUAGUGCAGUCUGCAACCUCGACCUGCAUGAAGUCGGAUCGCUAGUAAUCGCAGAUCAGCAUGCU